GGAUAAUUAGAAGGGAGGAGGGAGGAGGCUAGGGUUUCGGAGUUAAACCCGAAAACUUUAGCCGACGAAAUAAUUAUUUCGUCGGCUAAAGAUACGAAUUUCGUCGGCUAUACAUCAAUUCGUCGGCUAAACCUUCUAAAUUCGUCGGCUAAAACUUUGAAAUUCAUCGGCUAAACUUUAUAAAUUCGUCGGCUAAACCUUUGAAAUUCGUCGGCUAACCUUUGAAAUUCGUCGGCUAAAAGUAUUUUUAUACAUUUGGCACAUUGUGAUGAUCAAACUUGAGAAAAAUAAAUCCGACCGUCAGAUCUGACCAUCAUGAUAAAAUACAUGUAUGGAAAAAAAUUCAACUUGAUCCGACAAGAAUAAGGGCUCGAUCCGGACGGUCAAUCUCGUAAGUCAAACCCCUAAACGCACGGAAAAGGUCGUUCGACUGUCUAAAUUAUGUAUUUUGGCCGGACCUCCAACUGAAAAUAGUUUUAAAUCGAUGACACGCAACAAGUCGUAUAAAAAUUUUACGCAAAAUAACCACCAAAUAUAGGGCUACUCAUUGGGGGAAAGAAUGAAAAAUUGCAUUGACCGCAACUAUCGGCACCAAAUAUUUACCGGAAUAGUGUGACUUUUCAACCGUGGAUGUAUUUCAACAUUCUCGUCAUAUCUUAUUUCAUGACUUUUUGGCGUUUGAAGGUUUUACAUAUAGUUUGCUUUUGAAACGGAACAUUUACAUAACACUUGGUAAACAAGUUAUACAACAUUAGUAUGCAUGCUGUGAUUGUGAUGAUCAAACUUGAGAAAAAUAAAUCCGACCGUCAGAUCUGACCAUCAUGACAAAAUACAUGUAUGGGAAAAAAGUCAACUUGAUCCGACAAGAAUAGGGGCUUGAUCCGGACGGUCAAUCUCGUAAGUCAAACCCCUAAACGCACGGAAAAGAUCGUUCGACCGUCUAAAUUACGUAUUUUGGCCGGACAUCCAACUGAAAAUAGUUUCAAACCGAUGAGACGCAAGAAGUCGUCUAAAAAUUUUACGGAAAAUAACAACCGAAGAUAGGGCUAUAGUAGGUAAUAGAAAAAUUUUAGGGUUUAGCUGACGAAUACCCUAACGUAUUCGUCGGCUAUAGUAUGUAAUUAAAAAAUUAAAAAAUAACUAAAGCCGAUGAAAUAUUAGGUUAUUCGUCGGCUAAAACUUUAUUAGCCGACGAAAUACACUAUAAUUCGUCGGCUAAGAUGGUUUUAG
rnacentral:lncRNA from 1 species